rnacentral:rRNA from 1 species
AACGAACGCUGGCGGCAUGCCUAACACAUGCAAGUCGAACGAGAUCUUCGGGUCUAGUGGCGCACGGGUGCGUAACGCGUGGGAAUCUGCCCUUUGGUUCGGAAUAACAGUUGGAAACGACUGCUAAUACCGGAUGAUGACGAAAGUCCAAAGAUUUAUCGCCAGAGGAUGAGCCCGCGUAGGAUUAGCUAGUUGGUGUGGUAAAGGCGCACCAAGGCGACGAUCCUUAGCUGGUCUGAGAGGAUGAUCAGCCACACUGGGACUGAGACACGGCCCAGACUCCUACGGGAGGCAGCAGUGGGGAAUAUUGGACAAUGGAGGAAACCCUGAUCCAGCGACGCCGCGUGAAUGAUGAAGGCCUUAGGGUUGUAAAGUUCUUUCGUCCGUGACGAUGAUGACAGUAGCGGAAGAAGAAGCUCCGGCUAACUUCGUGCCAGCAGCCGCGGUAA